UGACCUCCUGGGAAGUCCUC
rnacentral:snRNA from 1 species